rnacentral:tRNA from 4 species
GCUCUCGUGGUGAAAUUGGUAUACACGUUAGAUUGAGGUUCUAAUGCGGAAACGCGUGCAAGUUCAAGUCUUGUCGAGAGCACCA